UCUCUGGAUCCUCUCUGCAGCUGGUGUGUGAACACACACAGAUGUUCUACUCAAGAUGAAUGUUCAAAUACUUCAUGGGUGUCCAUCCCAAAAAACUCUCUCCAGACACGGCUGUUUUCUUUUCAGAUAGCAGAGAAUUCUUCUAGAAAGAUUACUCUACAUCUUUCCUUGAGUCUGAAUACCACAGGAAAUCCUGCCUUCUCGUGUACCUUCAACACAGGAACCAUGAACCUGUGUGACGGGUCUGAUCCACCUGCAGUUUUCCCAAACUGCUCCUGUAGUUUUUCUGACCAGCUACUAUACACUGGAGGUUUAAGAUUCUCUGCUACAGUUACUAUUGAGGAUCAGAAGAUCACAGAGACACUGACGCUGACAAACUGCUCCAGUAUCACAUAAAAUUCACCAAAUGCUUCUUAUACACAGUGUGUGCAGUGUGUCUCAUCUGGGUGUCACUGGUCCUCUUCCUCCAAGCGUUGUGAUUGGACACAUGGAAGUGGGCUGCAGUUACACACACAGGAUGAAUGUAAAUAUCUACUCUCUGAGAUGGUCUACAAUAAGCCAGAGAUUCUCUCUUUGGAGCCCAACAAGGUUUCUUUCCAUGGCAGAAACAAUGUUUUACUAAGAGGAAGGAACCUGGAAUCUGUUACUAAAAUCCGUAUUCAAGCGUUCAGGGGAGCA